rnacentral:rRNA from 1 species
UGGGGAAUUUUGGACAAUGGGGGCAACCCUGAUCCAGCCAUGCCGCGUGAGUGAAGAAGGCCUUCGGGUUGUAAAGCUCUUUCAGCCGGAAAGAAACGGUCACGGUGAAUAUCCGUGACUAAUGACGGUACCGGCAGAAGAAGCACCGGCUAACUACGUGCCAGCAGCCGCGGUAAUACGUAGGGUGCGAGCGUUAAUCGGAAUUACUGGGCGUAAAGCGUGCGCAGGCGGUUUUGUAAGACAGGCGUGAAAUCCCCGGGCUUAACCUGGGUACUGCGCUUGUGACUGCAAGGCUAGAGUACGGCAGAGGGGGGUAGAGUUCCACGUGUAGCAGUGAAAUGCGUAGAUAUGUGGAGGAAUACCGAUGGCGAAGGCAGCCCCCUGGGUCGAUACUGACGCUCAUGCACGAAAGCGUGGGGAGCAAACAGGAUUAGAUACCCUGGUAGUCCACGCCCUAAACGAUGUCAACUAGGUGUUGGGGAAGGAGACUUCUUUAGU